UACGUAGGGCGCAAGCGUUGUCCGGAAUUAUUGGGCGUAAAGAGCUUGUAGGUGGCUUGUCGCGUCUGCCGUGAAAACCCGAGGCUCAACCUCGGGCGUGCGGUGGGUACGGGCAGGCUAGAGUGUGGUAGGGGAGACUGGAACUCCUGGUGUAGCGGUGAAAUGCGCAGAUAUCAGGAAGAACACCGAUGGCGAAGGCAGGUCUCUGGGCCAUUACUGACACUGAGAAGCGAAAGCAUGGGGAGCGAACA
rnacentral:rRNA from 1 species